GUAUUUGUCACAUCAGGUUCCUCAUUUUCUGUGUGCAUGACCUCUCUGACGUGGUAACACCUGUGCAAAGCUUGAGCACAGCAUACGUAUCAUGCAGCAAACUGAUGUUGGAACGGCGAGUGUAAAUGUAAGGAUACAGGCUAUUGCUGUCCAAGCACUUACACGGUGGCAGGAGAAGUUAUGCUUGAAGUAAGACACACCCACACAGAUGUACUUCACCUGCUCUCCAUCAGGAGACUAACAAAAGAUGAGCAAUUUGGAUUUCUGACGACAAGAAUGAGAACCAUCCUGUUACCGUGUGAUCUUAUAGCCGAGCGACUAAAUUUCACACUGACAUUGGAUGAAGUUCUAUUUUCCUGAUUCAGCCUGUCAUUGACUUCAACAAGGAAAAGACUAUGAAACACAGACUUCACACACAUGUUUGG